rnacentral:rRNA from 1 species
GCAGCGGGGGAUGUAGCAAUACAUUCUGCCGGCGACCGGCGCAAGGGUGCGUAACGCGUGAGCAACAUGCCCGUCUCAGGGGGAUAACCGGUGGAAACGCCGCCUAAUACCCCAUGGCGAUAUAUUGAGGCAUCUUGAUAUAUCUAAAGCUCCGGCGGAGACGGAUUGGCUCGCGUGACAUUAGCUGGACGGCGGGGUAACGGCCCACCGUGGCUACGAUGUCUAGGGGUUCUGAGAGGAAGGUCCCCCACACUGGAACUGAGACACGGUCCAGACUCCUACGGGAGGCAGCAGUGAGGAAUAUUGGUCAAUGGGCGGGAGCCUGAACCAGCCAUGCCGCGUGAAGGCGAGUGCCCUACGGGCGUUAAACUUCUUUUGUGCGGGAGCAAUAAGGGCCACGCGUGGCCCGAUGAGAGUACCGCACGAAUAAGCAUCGGCUAACUCCGUGCCAGCAGCCGCGGUAAUACGGGGGAUGCGAGCGUUAUCCGGAUUUAUUGGGUUUAAAGGGUGCGUAGGCUGUGAGGUAAGUCAGCGGUGAAAUGCCCCCGCUCAACGGGGUGAAGUGCCAUUGAUACUGCCUUGCUGGAAUGCGGAUGCCGUGGGAGGAAUGUGUGGUGUAGCGGUGAAAUGCAUAGAUAUCACACAGAACACCGAUUGCGAAGGCAUCUCACGAAUCCGCGAUUGACGCUGAUGCACGAAAGCGUGGGUAUCAAACA